rnacentral:lncRNA from 1 species
GAGAGAGGCCUCAGAGGAAGCCAACUCAACAAAUUUUAAAAUAUGUAUUUUGGAGAACAAAAUUAUUAGAAAAUAUUUACAACAGAAAAAAAAAAUUUCUUCUAGAACUGAGCUGGUCUAAAGGUGCAUAUCUUGGUAAGGCUCUGUGAAGAAAUGACCUAAUCUGGAGAGAAGCUGUUCAUGUUGACAUUUAAAUGCCAGUGUGGCAGUGUUGGGGGUGGGGUCUAGUGGGAGGUGUUGGAUCAUGGGGACAGAUCUCUCAUGGACAGAUUAAUGCCUCCUCUCGGGAGUGAGUUUCACUCUUACAGACUUGGUUAGUUACCAUGACAACAAGUUUUUCCUUCUCAUGUUUCAUCUCUUUGGACAUUCCCACUCCCCCAUCCAUUUUCUGCCAUGAGUUGAAGCAGCACAAGACCCUCACAAGAUGGGCUGCUCAGUUUGGGACUUCCUGACCUCCAGAAUUGUGAGCCAAAUAAAAUAUUUUUUCUUUAUUAAUUACACAGUCUCAUGUCUUCUGAUAUAGCAACAUAAAACAGACUAAGACAGGGUUCUCUAGGGUAUGAGAGUAUGAAUAAAAAUUUCUAAUUUUCUGGUAAUGAAGUAUUUUGGGCAAGAAUAACAUGUAUCCAGAAAGAACUCUUGCAAUGAGAAGUGUUUGCUGUCUUUCCUUUUGUUCAGGGACACUGUCUUUGGGGACAUAUUUAAUUCCCAAUAGAAGGAAAUGGCAAUAAUGUAUAGUUAGAUAACACCAUCUUCGCUUCUUCAUGCCCCCUUAAGAUGUUGUUCACUCUUCCAUUGCAAACAUCCAGAACAAGGCAAGCAUGGACUUCCUAGAUCUGGGAGGAGAGAGAAAGGUACUGGUUGCUACCUAAUACCAUUGAAUAUCUCAGAGCUGGGAGAAAUUCCACUGAGUCUAUGUCUGGAGACAGAAGUGACUGCUCCCUGGUGGGAAGCCAAUCUUAGCUCAGUUUGUCACCAUAUUUCUGGGGGACUACUGCAAGAGCCCCCAUCUGGUCUCUCUACCUUCAGAUUAGCCCAAUCUGAACCACCCUUUACACUGCACUCAGAGGGAUCUUCUAAAAUGUGAAUCUGAUGACAUUCUGCUUGAAACCCUUCAAAUAACCUUCUAUACUCUUUAGGAUAA